AGUGAACGCUGGCGGUAGGCCUAACACAUGCAAGUCGAACGGCAGCACAGUAAGAGCUUGCUCUUACGGGUGGCGAGUGGCGGACGGGUGAGGAAUACAUCGGAAUCUACUUUUUCGUGGGGGAUAACGUAGGGAAACUUACGCUAAUACCGCAUACGACCUACGGGUGAAAGCAGGGGAUCUUCGGACCUUGCGCGAUUGAAUGAGCCGAUGUCGGAUUAGCUAGUUGGCGGGGUAAAGGCCCACCAAGGCGACGAUCCGUAGCUGGGCUGAGAGGAUGAUCAGCCACACUGGAACUGAGACACGGUCCAGACUCCAACGGGAGGCAGAGGUGGGGAAUAUUGGACAAUGGGCGCAAGCCUGAUCCAGCCAUACGGGGUGGGUGAAGAAGGCCUUCGGGUUGUAAAGCCCUUUUGUUGGGAAAGAAAAGCAGCAGGUUAAUACCCCGCUGUUCUGACGGUACCCAAAGAAUAAGCACCGGCUAAUUUCGG
rnacentral:rRNA from 1 species